rnacentral:rRNA from 1 species
UACGAAGGGGGCUAGCGUUGCUCGGAAUCACAGGGCGUAAAGGGUGCGUAGGCGGGUUUUUAAGUCAGGGGUGAAAUCCUGGAGCUCAACUCCAGAACUGCCUUUGAUACUGAAGAUCUUGAGUUCGGGAGAGGUGAGUGGAACUGCGAGUGUAGAGGUGAAAUUCGUAGAUAUUCGCAAGAACACCAGUGGCGAAGGCGGCUCACUGGCCCGAUACUGACGCUGAGGCACGAAAGCGUGGGGAGCAAACAGG